UUUGACACUUAGUAAUUAGUCUAUCUUCAAUAGCCAAUUUUGUUGACCGAUUUUAUGGAACAAAUAGUUUAUUUCCAUCCAUGCAUAAUACGGCAUAUUCUUAUUUAUUGUGCUGUAGAAGCAUUUGAUUGUGCUUUAGCUUAAUUUUUCUUUUCUAAAGUGAACUUUAUUUGUAAUCUUUGUUUGAUCUGCAUGAUUAUUUUAAUUACUUAAUCAUGAAGUUUUGUGGUUUUCUUUGAACGGGGCCCAUUAAUCAACAAAGCUGCUGUAGAAAAGGGAGCAAACGUUAUACUUGGGGGAAAGAGAGAGUCUGGGCAUGACAUUUUAUGAGCCUACUGUACUUGGAAAUGUUAAUGAUGAAAUGCUCGUAUCUAGGUGAAACUCCAAAACCUUUUAUAACAUUCAUGAUGACAUGCCUUGGCUACUAUUUUAUUUUGUGAUGUUGGUUAUUGUUACUCUAGUCUGUGAAUGGCUUUAACUCAUCCAUUGCCUAAUCUCAUCCUUUGUAAUGCCUAAUAUAAUGGCACAAAAAAAAUCAAUGGAGGAGUAUUUUUGAAAG